rnacentral:tRNA from 1 species
GCGCGUGUAGCUCAGAGGUAGAGCAAUCCCCUGAUAAGGGAUAGGUCGGAUGUUCAAUUCAUCCCAUGCGCACCA